CAGGUUGGACCCCCUUUCCCUCUCCCCUGCAUGUCCACUGCGGGCCUCAGUGUGUCUGGCGGGCAGGAAAAUCAAAGUGCGAAUUUGAGGGACCGUCUGUAUGUCCAAAAUGGAAAAUGGCAUUCAUGGGACUACUUCUUUCUCUUAUUUCAUGUGUAACUCCUUAACAGAAAACAACUCCUGCACACGGAGGGCCUUAUCAGACACGGGACAGAGGCCACAGUAUUAGCCUCAAGUGCUCAUAGCCUCCUUCACCAAGCCCAUCCAUUCUGUGCACUGUUGGCCCCAGGGGAGACGAGGCAAUAUUCUCCCUUCCAGGUCAUCUUGGGGCCCAGACCACUAGCCGGAGAAAUGAUAUGGAGAGAGCAGAUGAGAAAGCUGAAAUACUGCAAGUUGAAAUGACUCAUCCUAGGUCCCAGGUCUAGUGAAGAGUGAGGACCAGAAAUCACAUGUACUGGGCUACCAGCAGUCAGAUAUAAUCAGCCCCCAAAUCUCCUGUGGUUCACUACAGAUAAA